UAGCCAUGGUGCGAACAAUUCAUUUGCAAGCCUUUAAACCAUUCACAAGCUUCAGAUAAGGACUCUUGCUCAUAUUGGGUAAAAUUUCAAAUUCCUUUGAUCAGCUG
rfam:Glycine max cultivar Williams 82 chromosome 15, whole genome shotgun sequence.